GAAAUCCAUGACAAUGGGCCCAUUCAUGCUGGAAGGGACUCCUCUGGUGGUCCACUUGGGCUCCUGAACUCCAUGACAGACUCUUAACCUUCCUCAGAGAGCAGGGCAUUCUAGGACACUUCCACCUGACCUCCCUUCCUGUAUCCUUCACUCUAAAGGAGUCUGCAGUCUACAGUUUUGGCCAACCUUUGUGCCAGCCCAUCUUCUCUCACAGUGAAUCUGGUGGAAAAUUUGAUUUUUGUCAUUAUGGUGAAUGCUGACUCUGCCAGAGUUACACAUUCCUACGCCUUUUAUUGCAAUCCUCUUUUGCAGUGGAUUCUACAAGCAAUUAGAGUAUUCUCAACCGGAGUUUUAAAUUCCAAGAUGACUGGACAAAGCCUGCUCUAGUAUACAAGAUGGAAUAUAGGAUGUUGAAGAAUUUUUCCAAUUCUAAGAAACUGUGAUUGAAAAAUUUUUAUCCUGUUUGUUGAAUUAUGAAUGACAGUUGCAAAAUUAUCUUAAUUGUAUUUGACAAUAUAAAGCCUAAUGUAAUUCACAAUCAUAAAUCUUUCAAGCAAUGAAAGUUAAAUAAUACUAUCUUUGUUAAAAUACCAUUUCUUUCGUUGGUUGGUUAGUGCAUUAACGCAAACAAAUGCUUUUGGUAACUAUGAUUAAAGAAGCAUUUUCAAAGGUG